CGCGUAGGUGGUCCUUCAAGUCAGAUGUUAAAUCUCCUGGCUUAACUGGGAGUGGUCAUUUGAUACUGCUGGACUUGAGGGCGGUAGAGGGAGGUGGAAUUCCCGGUGUAGUGGUGAAAUGCGUAGAUAUCGGGAGGAACACCAGUGGCGAAAGCGGCCUCCUAGGCCGUUCCUGACACUGAGGCGCGAAAGCGUGGGGAGCGAACAGGAUCAGAUACCCUGGUAGUCCACGCCCUAAACUGUGGAAACUAGGUACAGGGAGUAUCGACCCUUCCUGCGCCGUAGCUAACGCGUUAAGUUUCCCGCCUGGGGACUACGGUCGCAAGACUAA
rnacentral:rRNA from 1 species